GUCAUUGCCAUUUUUGAAAGCCUGAAUUGCAAAUUUACAUGCCAAACAAAACAAGGACGUUUGGAUUCUUCUGGAUAUGAAAAAGUAAAUGAUGAUUCAUACACCGAGAAGCCAUUGGUGUGUAAAGACCAAAGUUACAAGAAACAAACAAUUUGCAGAUAAAAUCUUAGUGGCAUCACAUGAGGAUUCUUUUACAGGAGGGGGAAAACACAUUGGCUUAUUUGGUGGUGAGUUGAGUGAUCUUUAUUCAUGUUACACAUUUAAAAAACGAUAAACUUAUGUACAAACUGGAGAUGACA
rnacentral:misc_RNA from 1 species